UACGGGGGGGGCAAGCGUUGUUCGGAAUUACUGGGCGUAAAGCGCGCGUAGACGGUUUUGUAAGUCAGAUGUGAAAUCCCCGGGCUCAACCUGGGAACUGCAUUUGAAACUGCAUGGCUAGAGUACGGUAGAGGGAAGCGGAAUUUCAGGUGUAGCGGUGAAAUGCGUAGAUAUCUGAAGGAACACCAGUGGCGGAAGCGGCUUCCUGGACCAGUACUGACGUUCAUGUGCGAAAGCGUGGGGAGCAAACAGG
rnacentral:rRNA from 1 species